UCUGGCCGUUUCCUUCCCUCCUUCCCCUAGACCAGUCUGAUGAAAACGCCGGCCUCUCCCCGGGCAGAUGGAUCUCGACACUCAAGCAGGGGACUUUGAAAAGUCUGAAUUCCUUAAUCCAGCAUAUUCAGAGCCCCCAGACACCUGCAGGACUGCCUACUGCCACAAAACUGCAGAGCGAAACCCGAAUCCCUCAGCACCCCCAGACCCCCAGGGACCGGACGGCCUGGCCUUCCCUCUCCUCCUUGCUCCCCGGAGGCCAGAGCCCUCGGGCCCCAUGCUGGCCCGACAGUGUCUCGCAGGCCACAGCUCUGUUUGGGGACCCCCUGAGCUCAUCUGAGGGCCAYGGCAGUGUCUCUGCCCGGCUUCUGGAACCUGCGUCACUUGUCUGAGGACUUCUGAGGCUGCCAGGAAGGAGGGUGGCCUCGCUGACAACGAAGCCCUCCAUGUACCAGCACCAGGGCCUUUGGGGGGUGACCGAGGGGAGCUGGUGUGUCCGUGCCCAGGGCCCUUGCCCUUCCAUGGAUAUCUGGGGGCUGGGUGCUCCAGGUACCCUCGGUGCCCGUGGGCUUGACGCACUCCCACCCUUGGUAGGCGGCCCCUCCCUCUCACCCCCCCACUCCCUACGGAGUCCCCCUCACCUCUAGGAAACCACUUGCCUGUAAAUCUUUGCCUGUGAACUUCUGGGGACCCGAAAGCAAGGUGAUGCCUUCCACCAUGUCUUGAUGCAGCAGGAAGGCCCUCACCAGAGGCAGUCUUUCCAUCUUGGACUUCCAGGCCUCCAGAACUGUGAGCCACACAGAUUUCUAUUCUUUACAAGCAUCCAAUCUGYGAYAUUCUAUUACAGCAGCACAAACUGKCACUGAGGGACGGACUUAUAAGACAUCCAUAAACAUGGAGCUACAAUAAGAAGUCAAGGGAAUCAUGUGCUGAGAAGAAAAUGGGAACUAACAUAAGUUGGACAGCUGCCGUGCGCUGGACACUGUCUUCACUCCUUUUGUGGUGGAAUGUGCUUCCAAAGAUACCUAUGACAGUAUCCYGUCCCACGUGCUCUGUGCAGUGUGUGUGACCACGUCACUUUCUCAUUAGGAGGAAGUGUGUAUUUCUCUUCCCCUUGAUUCUGGACUGACUGGGCUUUGACAGACAGGUCGCAUGCUCACGUCCAGCUGUGAGGGCUGUUCACUUGGACCAUCAGAGACCAUGUUGUGAGGAAGCCUGAGCUUCUCCCCAGGAGAGAGGCCACAGAGAGGAACCCCAAUGUGUCAGUCACAUGUACAGAAUUGGGCUGGACUGGAAAGUCCAGUCAGGAACUGAACUCCAAAGAGGCAUCUCCUGGACCACAACCUCCCAGGCCUGAAUCCCCAAGUCACAAAACUGUGAACAAACAAAUGGCUGCUUUUAUAAGCCAUUAUGUGUUGGGGUGGCUUGCUAGAUUGCAAUGGGAGACCCCAGGGAGUAUCCUCUCUGUAAGGUAGAGGCCCUCCUUUGAGGAGACCUUACCAUCUCUGUAAGGAGACAGGACUGGAGAGGUGACAUGACUAGUCCAUCCUCACAUGGGAAACCCAUGACAGAAGCAGGAUUCAAACUGGGCCUCUGUGACCUCGACCUCCUGCAGGGUCCUUGGGUCACAGUGCUCUCGAGAGCAGAGGAGGGGACCUGC